GAUAGCUCAAUGGUGGAGCACUCGGCUGUUAACCGAUAGGCUGGAGGUUCGAGUCCUCUU
rnacentral:tRNA from 1 species